UAGGGAAUCUUCGGCAAUGGACGGAAGUCUGACCGAGCAACGCCGCGUGAGUGAAGAAGGUUUUCGGAUCGUAAAGCUCUGUUGUAAGAGAAGAACGAGUGCGAGAGUGGAAAGUUCACACUGUGACGGUAUCUUACCAGAAAGGGACGGCUAACUACGUGCCAGCAGCCGCGGUAAUACGUAGGUCCCGAGCGUUGUCCGGAUUUAUUGGGCGUAAAGCGAGCGCAGGCGGUUAGAUAAGUCUGAAGUUAAAGGCUGUGGCUCAACCAUAGUUCGCUUUGGAAACUGUCAAACUUGAGUGCAGAAGGGGAGAGUGGAAUUCCAUGUGUAGCGGUGAAAUGCGUAGAUAUAUGGAGGAACACCGGUGGCGAAAGCGGCUCUCUGGCUUGUAACUGACGCUGAGGCUCGAAAGCGUGGGGAGCAAACAGGAUUAGAUACCCUGGUAGUCCACGCCGUAAACGAUGAGUGCUAGGUGUUAGACCCUUUCCGGGGUUUAGUGCCGUAGCUAACGCAUUAAGCACUCCGCCUGGGGAGUACGACCGCAAGGUUG
rnacentral:rRNA from 1 species